rnacentral:lncRNA from 1 species
GGUGACAUAAUAAGGAAAAAAAGAAACGUACAAUAACAAUACGUCACCCCAACUCCGUUGAGGGUGCCAUAAAAAAAAGAAACGUAGAAUAACAGUAUGUCACCCCAACUCCGUUGAGGGUGCCAUAAAAAGAAACGAACAAUAACAAUAUGUCACCCCAACUCCGUUGAGGGUGCCAUAAAAAAAGAAACGAACAAUAACAAUAUGUCACCCCAACUCCGUUUAGGGUGCCAUAAUAAUA